GCGUAAUCAUUUGCCUCCUAAUUAGAGGCACGUAUGAACGGGAAACCGAGAAUAACCCUGUCUCUUUUCUGCCCAUAUAAACUUAUCUCUAGGUGAAAAAGCCUAGAUUAUUAUAAAAGACAAAAAGUCCCCGUCGAACUUUAAUCUCCCCUAGCCAAACCACAUCACAACCUAUUACGAUUUUCGUUGGGGCGACAAAGGAAUACAAACUUCCCACACACAUACGACAUCAAGUCACAUAUUAAAAGACCCUACCACUGAUCCUAGGACACAGCUACCGCGGGGAUAACAGGCUAAUUUUCUGCACGAGACCACAUCAACCAGAAAGUUUGG
rnacentral:rRNA from 1 species